ACAUCUUCUGUAACCAGAAGCACUCCAAGAACAACACUUUCAUUCAUGGACUUAACAACUACAUUAGAUCAUACCAGCCUGCCACUUCAAAGUCGCCAGUGUCAAGGAACAUUUCAAAUGGGCUUAAAACAUUGUUUUGGAGGUGUGACUAACGAAGCCAAGGACAUUAGCAAACAUCAUGAGAGCAGGUAUCAGGUGAAUAGAGAAGAUAUAGAAGAGGUCCUUGGUUUCCAAAUUGCCACUGGAUUGCCUCUAUCAAAUAUCCAAGAGUUUCAUGAUCACAGGGGACUCAAGAUUCUUGGACAGAAUUCUCGCCGGGAGCCAACUCAGCCUGAUCUGCUGGCAUCUCUCAAGUAUCCGAAGUCAACAAAAUGGUUUCCCUUGAAGACUUGGCCAGAGCGGCAGCCAAAGUUCAUCAGGCUUUCAUAGAGAGAUUGUUGUUCUAAGAAAACAAAAUUCUAAGGGUUCCCAUUGUGCAACUGGGGUGGCAAAAUGCAAACUAGUAUAAGGGAAAAAAAUGCUUUUCAUUUCCAUGGAAGAAGUGACCCAUCCUAUUGUUUUGAUAUUUCCUUUUCUGUGCUAACUUAUUCCAUUAAUUAGGCUCUCAUUUUAUGAGAUAAAUUUCACUGCAUGCGUAUCUUCUUUUGGUUAUUACACAAGGACUGUUUUCUAUGGUUCAUAUCUAAGUCUAGCCCUGGAAGAAUUUUUUUUUUUUUUUUUUUUUUUUUUUUGGAGACAGACUUUUUUGUUUUGUUUUGAGACAACACUUCCUCUGUUGCCCAGGCUGGAAUGCAGUGACGAGAUCAUAGCUCACUGCAACUUCUGCCUCCUAGACUCAAACAGUCCUCCCACCUCAGCCUCCCAAGUUGCUGGGAUUACAGGCAAGUGCCAUCACACCCGGCUAAUUUUUGGAUUUUUAGUAGAAAUGAAGUUUUGCCAUGUUGGCCAGGCUGAUCUCAAACUCCUGCCCUCAAGUGAUCUGCCCUCGUCAGCCUCCCAAAGUGCUGGGAUUACAGGUGUGAGCCACCGUGCCCAGCUUGGCCUUGGAAAAAUCUUGAUGUAGAAUUUAUCUGCAGGUAUCUCCAUCUCUAUUUUCCAUUCUUAGUAAAUGUUUUAGUUUGACAGUAAACGUGUUGAGACAUUUAUGAUCGAGAGAGCGCCUAAGCAGCCCAAAGUGCUGGGAGUCUCUCCUAAGGAAUUAGAUGCACGCAGCUUUUUUCCCUCACAGACACUUUACUGAGCAGUCAUGUUGGGCUUGGGUGGCAUCUGCUAUUAAGACACACUAUUCAGCAAUAAAACCCUGAAAAUUGCAUUGCACAGGACUGAUAAAAAUGAAAUGACUUAAGAAACAUAUUUAUGGUAUAUAUACACAGAAAAAGAAUGAAAGUUUGAGGGGGGUAUUGCCUUUGAGAAGAAGAGUUAUGAGUAGUUUUUAUUUCCUUUUUUAUUAAUCUGUAUUUCAUUUUUUAGGCAAGCAAAUAUAUUAUUUAGACAACAAAAUAUGUAUUAUAAAGAAAAGACUUUUUUUUGUUUCUUCUUUGCUUUUCUAAGAGGAAACUUUGACUACAAUUGCUUGUGAGUGAUACCUGUGUUCUGGUAGCUUAAGAAGACACAAUGUGGUUAGGGAAGGAUAAGAACAGAUGGCUUUAAUAAAUGUACUCAAGGCUAAUGUACUCUUCGUAGACUCAGGCUUCAGAUUAGAUCUCUUAUCUAUAUUGGCACCAGGAUGUGGUUUUGAGUUCUCUGCUUUUUCUACAGCUUUAGGGAAAUCUGCAUGCAGACACAUCCAAUUGUCCAAACCAAAAUCACAUCCAGGAUGUGAGGCAGCCUGGGAAAGGUCAUUUUGAGUUCUGUAGUCUCCGAAGUAUGAAAACACAUAUACACGUAUACAUACACACAUUCACACCCACACACUUUUGAAGGAAGAUGGAAUGGAAGAUAAGCACCACAGUGAAACUUUAGAAGAAUUUCCAUUACACUAAGGAAAAAAAGAUAGAGGGUCCAUUUUCAUCACUUUUAUCACUGUUGCCUAGAAGAUAAGCUGAAUAACAUAAAAUAAAAAGUGUAUAGAACACUUGGAAAAAAUAUAAAAGAUUGGUCCCAUUCUCAGAUGACAUGAUACUCAAUGAGGAACCAACCAUAAACAGGUUGUUAUGAACUGAAUAUUAGUGUGACCCCAAAAUUCACAUGCUGAAAUCUUAACCCCAACGUGAUGGUGUUAGAUGGUGAGGCUUUUUAGGAGCUGACACAGUAUAAUGCCUCUUCUAUGAAGAAGCGGGCCUUUGUCAGUUACCAAAUCUGCAGAUGCCUUGAUCUUGAACUUCCCAGCCUCCAGAACUUGGAGGAAUAAAUGUUUGUUGUUUGUAAACCACCCAGUUUAUGGUAUUUUAUUAUAGCUGCUCAAAGGGUCUAAGACUCAAGUAUAAGUCAUAAGUAAAUGCAUCAAAUUUGCUGAAUAUAAAUCACAUAUAAAAAUUCAACAGCAUGCUUGGAUCCCCGGGAUGAAUCACAUCUGGUCAUGGCAAAUAAUCUAAAAAAUAAUAAUAAAAUCAAUUUUAAAAAUUAAAAAAGCAACAAUAUUUACUAUUCACUGCCAAUGACCAAUUACAAAAUGGCAUAAACAUGACAUCUGUGGUAAUGACAAAUACCCUAAGGUAACUAGAACUACAAGUAAUAAAAGAUGUGUACAAUUUACAGAGAAGGUUGUAGAAAGAAAAAAAUUAAAAGUGAAAACCUAAAUGGGAAGAAACAUCAUAUAUAUUGGGUCAAAGUAGAUAUCAUAAUAUAAAUUAUAAAAUACAGAACUAAAUAAUAUUAUUUAGUAUUUUAUAUACUAAACUUCAAAAUGUGUUGGAUACACCUGAAGUAGCACUAAAGAGGAAUUUACAGCUUUAAAUACAUGUAUUGGAGGAGGAAAGAGAUAAAGUUUAAUGUGGCAGUAAGCACCCACUUAAGAAAAAGUACAAAAAGAAAAUAGUAGUAGUAGAAAGUAAUAAAAUAUAAAACAGGUUUUUAAAAAGAUGCUUACAAAAUGGACAGUUUUUAUGGGGAUUGAACAAGAACAAAGAAAGAAGGCACUAAUAACUCAUGUCAAGAAUGUGGAAGUGGAUAUGUGGAUAUAACUAAAAUGCUGCAGUUAUUCAAGAUAAGAAUAUUAUUAGUAACUAUAAAAUAAUACAUUUAAAAACUUGGUCAAAACGGUCAAAUUUCUAGAAAAAUGUACCUCAACAAAACUGAUUCAAGAAAAAUAACCCAUUAAAAAUAAAUCAGCGGUUACCUUCCCCCCCUUUUUUUUUGACAAGAAAAUACCAAAUGGUUUUACCAGCAAGAUCUGCCAAAUAUUCAAGAAACGAGUAAUUUAAAUCUUAAACAGAAUUUUCCAGAGAAUAGAAAAUGGGAAGAGGGUUGUUCCUCAUCUUAUUUUAUGAAGCUAGUAUACACAUCGGUGCCAACAUUUGACAAGGGAAGUCUGAAAAAGGAAAAUCACAGACUAACCUCUGCCAUGAGCAGAGACUUAAAAAAUUAUAAACAAAAUAUUUGCCAACCAAAUCCAAAUAUAAAAAGGAUUGGACACCAUGAUCAAGUUGAGCUCAUCCUAGGAAUGUAUCCUUUAUGGUAACAUUUGGGAAAGCAAAAUACAUGGGUGCACAUGCAAGAGGUAAGAGAUUGAGACCAGGAGUCUGUAGGACUUCUGAUUUCAUCCAUUUUUUCCAAGUGAAUUAGAUUUUCUUUAAAAAAGGUUACUGGGUGAAGACGCAGAUAGAGGACCAGGUCUUGGAGAUUUAAGGAGAAAGGAAGUAUGAUAUAGUCUUCCAGAAGACUGGAAGAGUAAAUGGAAUAUAGUGUGAUUGCAUUGGGUGUCAUCUGAGCUUUAUGGGCAUGAAUUUAAAGAUUAUUUAUUAGAUGACCUGGUUUGUGCAGUAAGAAAACAUUUGUUUAGGGAUUAGGAAGGAACAAAUAAAACUAAAACUCUCCCAUUACUCACAGAAGACAUGAUGAUUCUUAUAGAAAACCCAAAAGAUAUUAUGUCAAUAUAGAAAAGUCAAUUACUUUUUUUUUUUUUUUUUUUUUUUGCUUUAAAUUCUGGGACACAUGUGCAGAAUGUGCUGGUUUGUUACAUAGAUAUACAUGUGCCAUGGUGCUUUCCUGUACCUAUCAACCCAUCAUCUAGGUUUUAAGCCCAGAAUGCAUUAGGUAUUUGUCCUAAAACUCUCCCCCUCCCCUUCCCCCACUCCCCCCAACAGGCCCUGGUGUGUGAUGUUACCCUUCCUGUGUCCCCGUGUUCUCAAUGUUCAACUCCCACUUAUGAGUGAGAAUAUGUGGUGUUUAGUUUUCUGUUCCUGUGUUAGUUUGCUGAGGAUGAUGGUUUCCAGCUUCAGCCAUGUCCCUGCAAAUGACAUUAACUUUCUUUUUUCUGGCUGCAUAGUAUUCCAUGGUGUAUAUGUGCCACAUUUUCUUUAUCCAGUAUACCAUUGAUGGGCAUUUGGGUUGGUUCCAAGUCUUUGCUAUUGUAAAUAGUGCUGCAAUAAACAUACAUGUCCAUGUGUCUUUAUAAAGUGAUUUAUAAUCCUUUGGGUAUAUAACCAGUAAUAAGAUUGCUGGGUCAAAUGGUAUUUCUGGUUCUAGAUCCUUGAGGAAUCACCACACUUUCUUCCACAGUGGUUGAACAAAUUUACACUCCCACCAACAAUAUAAAAGCAUUCCUGUUUCUCCACAUCCUCACCAGCAUUCUGUUGUUUCCAGACUUUUUAAUGGUCAUCA
rnacentral:lncRNA from 1 species